UCCCAAAUAGUCUAGGCGGUUAGGAUACGUGGCUUUCACCCACGCGACCCGGGUUCGAGUCCCCGUUUGGGAA
rnacentral:tRNA from 1 species